rnacentral:misc_RNA from 1 species
GGUAAUAAAUAUAAAAUAACCAUUAGAUAUGGGCAAUUGCCUUUCAAUUUUAUUAGUUUAAGGUAUCAUGUAUUUUCCUUCUAAAACAUACAAGUAAUAAAGAAAAAUAUAAUACCUUUUUAUCAAAGAGUUCAAUAGAAAGUACAGAAAGCAAACAAAAAUACUUGGCAAUGGCAUCUAAAAUUUAUGGUAGAGCAAUGGCAUCAAUCUGAAAAGCAGCAUAAAAUCACUUGUACACAAAUUAAAAUUAAGCUUUAGCUUGAAGAUGAUGCAUUCCUUAUACUUUCCCACAUAGCAGGACCUUCUGGAUGGACAUCCACAAAAUAUUUUACAAAUCUUGUAUCUGAACAUGCAAGAAUAGUGCUCAAGGACAACAUCGGCUUUGCAGCACCUCUGUCUCGCAGCCACACAUACAUUCUAAAUCUAUGAUUAAUCCUUUCCAUAUCAUAGCAUAAAUAUGCCGGGAAUGGCACCACUGCUGCAAGUGGAUAGCCUAAGCAAUUUGCCAGGCAGUCAAUCUUCUUUUCAAUUACAUCUUUGGUCUGGUUAAGCACCAUUGGAGCUUGUUUAAUCAAGCUUGAGACAGAAUUGUAGUCCAAACCAGCUUGUACCAGGCAAUCAAACCUCUCUUGUAAUUGAUCCCCUCUACCUCGGAACUUUUUUAGAGCUCUCAUCAUUUCAUCUGAGUUCUCAACAUAUCCUAAUCUCAAUAAGAAUGCUGUUUUCUCCAUCUUUUUACUAUGAUCCUCAGACACUAUCUGUUUGCUGCUUCUGACUUUCGACUUAGAAGCUAAGCUGAAGAACUUCAUUGGGUCUUGCCUUAUGAUUUGGCAUAAACUAUCUUUCUUAAUGUCUAAGUCCUUACAUACAGUUUUAGGUCCUUUCAAAGAACAUGAACACAGAAGUUCCAUAUGAUUAGAUACAAUGUUUGCAAUUUCUUCUACUCCCAUUCCAAUGUAGAGAAAAAUAUCCAGUGACCGCAAAAGAUUCUUUUCACACUUAGCUGACAAGAUUUGUGGGUUUUGAACAAACAAAGAAUAAACCUCAUUCAUAUCUAUACCCAAUUUGAGCAACCUGCCAAACAAUACAUAAACCUUCUUCCCAGAACCUUCAAGUACUAAUAGAGGAUUUGUUUUAAACAAAUUACACAACUGUUCCUCUCUAUAACCCACUUUAUCAAGAAAAUCCAUUGUGUCAAGAAUUCUUUUCCAGUUGUAAGAAUCCCUGCAGGAAAAAUACCCACCAAUGCGAUCAUUACCUAUCCCUAGCCUACGUAAGUUCUUGAGUACAUUAACAAAAUCAUUGUCAACUCCACCAAUCAGUAGAGAUGGGCAACAACUAACAAGCUUAAUAACCGUGCUUUUACUUAGACCCAACUUUUCAUAGGCUAGAAGUUUCGAAUCCAACAAACCAUAUUCAUAUAUGAAAAUCUCUCUUGCUUCCUUGUACAUCUUGCCAAUCUUAAUGCGAGGAAUCCCAUAAUUGCAUAAAACAUGGAAAUUCUCGAGCAAGACAUGAUCAUCACUCAAAAAAAUCAAGUGCCGUGGAAGCAACGAAGAAAGCUCAGAUGGGCACAAACCUAAACUCUCAAAGAAUGGCUCAAAUUCGUUGAUUGGAUUAUACAUAAGGUAUUUAUUUAAGGACCUUGUAACAUCUUUCUCGGUAUCAAUCUUGGAGAGCAAAUUUUGAAGGAAAUUAGGUGAAUUCUUGCUAAUAUACUCAGCAUCUGUUAUGCUUAAGCUCCUAGUGGAAUGUAAGUACUCAAAUAGCACAUCUUGAGCCUCGGUUCUAGCAGUACGAGAGACAGGGAUACCAGAAAAAGAACUAUGUGACUGAGUUGAACAAGAACAGGAGAAUUUGAGAUUGUGGGUUAGUCUAAUACUGCAAAAGCACCGAAUUUUAAACGAAAUGGAAAAAGGGUUACAUAUAGGAUUGGAUUUUUCACAGACCAUAGGAGAAAGAACAAGAAAAUGAUUGACUUGAGCUAUCAUAUUAGAUAAUUUGGAUACCUUCUUUAAGAUUCUGGGCAAUACCAUGGCAACAAUAGGAAAACAGAGAAAAAUUAUGGGUUCUAAUCAGGAUUCUCGGAGUUCAAACAAUAAUUUCGCAUAGAAAUGAAAGAGAGAAUGGAAAUGAAAAUACCUUCAGAAAGUUAUUGAUGCGAUAUUGGAUUCUUAGGCUGAAGAAAAGGAACGGAUGAAGGCUUUGAAGCAUCACUAACCACGCUCCUCUGACGAAAAGAGACAGGCACAGCUGAAGCUUUGGCAGUGUUAAAACCCUAGAAGAAGGGUUUUUCAAUCUCUGAUCUAACAACUACCCGUUAGUGUUUUAUGACCCUCUUCAUUUUCCAAAUUUAAGAAAGGCAACCAGGCGGAUUAGGGUGAAAAUUAC